rnacentral:rRNA from 1 species
AGCGAACGCUGGCGGCAGGCCUAACACAUGCAAGUCGAACGAACUCUUCGGAGUUAGUGGCGGACGGGUGAGUAACACGUGGGAACGCGCCUUUUGGUUCGGAAUAACUCAGGGAAACUUGUGCUAUACCGAAUGUGCCCUUCGGGGGAAAGAUUUAUCGCCAUUAGAGCGGCCCGCGUCUGAUAGCUAGUUGGUGAGGUAAUGGCUCACCAAGGCUACGAUCAGUAGCUGGUCUGAGAGGAUGAUCAGCCACAUUGGGACUGAGACACGGCCCAAACUCCUACGGGAGGCAGCAGUGGGGAAUCUUGCGCAAUGGGCGAAAGCCUGACGCAGCCAUGCCGCGUGAAUGAUGAAGGUCUUAGGAUUGUAAAAUUCUUUCACCGGGGACGAUAAUGACGGUACCCGGAGAAGAAGCCCCGGCUAACUUCGUGCCAGCCGCCGCCGUAACAC